UCUUCCCGCUUGACUUCGCUCAUUCGCUCUUCCUGCAUGAGUUUGACUCGAUUGUCGCUCUCCUAUCAUUCAAUUUCGCUCAUUUGCUCUUCCCGCACGACUUUGAUUUGAUUUUCGCUCUCCUACCGGUUGUGAGACAGUGAAGAAUGACCAAGCGGUGUCGCAAUAUUAGCCUUGUAGAGGCACCGUCAGUCUUCGUCAAUGCGUAGUUUCCUUCAAGGUUUAGUAGAGACAAUAAAACGGACAAGAGGCCAAUGGUUACAGGAUUAAUAUGAGAAAACAGAAGGGAGAAGAGGGAGAAAACGAAGAGGACGUUGGAGCUCUGUUAGGGCAUGCAUAUUAGCUUUCAUUGUUGAUGUUUUGAAACUCCCAAACAGUUGAGGACCUAGCUCAUCGGAUUUGAAUCGAGGAAAGCACACAGAGGUCUAGGAUUGUGGAGUGGCUUGUGGCUUGUACAUCAAUUGGGCAAAUAGAAUCAAAAGUUCAUGGGGUUAAAGGCUAAUGGUUUGGACAUGUUCUACCACUGAGACUGAGUAAGGAAAGGAAUCAGGCAAGGACUAGUAGAUUUGCUACAUUAUGAAUAGUAAUGCCUGAUUUUGGUUUGACUGGUGUACAUAAACUUAUUAUAUGAUAUUAUAUGUUGCCAUUUAGGAAUGCAUAUCAUUUUAAUUGGUUGCACUUGUUACAUACUAUGUUGUUUUGUAUUUUAGCCUAAUAUUGUAUAUGAUGUGAAUAUGUGGCAAUUUUUGUAGUGAUGGGCUAAAAUACUAAUACAAGUGUAAGAGAUGUUUUAUCUAUGUGGU